rnacentral:misc_RNA from 1 species
UCUCCGUUGGCGAACCAGCGGAGGGAUCAUUAUCGAGUUUAUAACUCCCAAACCCUAUGUGAACUUACCACUUGUUGCUUCGGCGCGCGCUUCGGCGCCGCCGAGGACACUUAAACUCUUUGUUUUUAUAAGCAUUUCUGAGUGGCCGAAAGGCAAAAUACAAAUGAAUCAAAACUUUCAACAACGGAUCUCUUGGUUCUG